rnacentral:rRNA from 1 species
GAUGAACGCUGGCGGUAUGCCUAACACAUGCAAGUCGUACGGGAGUUUUUAACUCCAGUGGCGGACGGGUGAGUAACACGUGAGAAUUUACCUUUAGGAGGGGGUUAACAGAUUGAAAAGCCUGCUAAUACCCCAUAUGCUUUCGAGUGAAAUGAAUUUAUUCGCCUAGAGAGAAGCUCGCGGCUGAUUAGCUUGUUGGUAAGGUAAUGGCUUACCAAGGCGACGAUCAGUAUCUGGUUUGAGAGGAUGACCAGACACACUGGAACUGAGACACGGUCCAG